rnacentral:snRNA from 1 species
AUACUUACCUGGCAGGGGAGAUACCAUGAUCACGAAGGUGGUUUUCCCAGGGCGAGGCUUAUCCAUUGCACUCCGGAUGUGCUGAUCCCUGCGAUUUCCCCAAAUGUGGGAAACUCGACUGCAUAAUUUGUGGUAGUGGGGGACUGCAUUUGCGGGA